UACGGGAGGCAGCAGUGGGGAAUCUUNCGCAAGGCGGCCAAGCGUGAUGCAGCCCUGCCGCGUGUGUGAAGAAGGCCUUCGGGUUGUAAAGCUCUUUCAUCGGGGAGGAAGGAGUUAUGGUUAAUAACCUUGGCGAUUGAUAUUUCCCGGCCAAGAAGCACCGGCUUACUCCGUGCCAGCAGCCGCGGUAAUA
rnacentral:rRNA from 1 species